UACAGAGGGGGCAAGCGUUGUUCGGAAUUACUGGGCGUAAAGGGCGCGUAGGCGGCCUACUAAGUCGAACGUGAAAUCCCUGGGCUCAACCCAGGAACUGCGUCCGAUACUGGUUGGCUUGAAUCCGGGAGAGGGAUGCGGAAUUCCAGGUGUAGCGGUGAAAUGCGUAGAUAUCUGGAGGAACACCGGUGGCGAAGGCGGCAUCCUGGACCGGCAUUGACGCUGAGGCGCGAAAGCCAGGGGAGCAAACGGG
rnacentral:rRNA from 1 species